rnacentral:rRNA from 1 species
GACGAACGCUGGCGGCGUGCUUAACACAUGCAAGUCGAACGGAAAGGCCCCUUUGGGGGUACUCGAGUGGCGAACGGGUGAGUAACACGUAAGUAACCUGCCCUUGACUUCGGGAUAACUUCAUGAAACUGGGGCUAAUACCGGCUAGGAAUCCUUGCUGCAUGGUGGGGGUUGGAAAGCUUCGGCGGUUUUGGAUGGACUCGCGGCUUAUCAGCUUGUUGGUGGGGUAGUGGCUUACCAAGGCUUUGACGGGUAGGCGGCCUGAGAGGGCGACCGGCCACAUUGGGACUGGGAUACGGCCCAGACUCCUACGGGAGGCAGCAGGGGGGAAUAUUGCACAAUGGGCGGAAGCCUGAUGCAGCAACGCCGCGUGCGGGAUGACGGGCUUCGGGUUGGAAACCGCUUUCAGCAGGGGCGAAGCUUGUGGUGACGGUACCUGCAGAAGAAGCACCGGCUAACUACGUG